CUUGACCGAGCCGAGCAGGAUCGGGCGGUCGGCCGGGCGGUCCUGGCCAUAGGUGGCCAGCAGGGCGUGGGCCUC
rnacentral:antisense_RNA from 1 species